GGCAAGAUGACCGAGUGGUUAAGGUGUAAGUCACAUAUUUUCACCUCAUUUAUAUUAAUUACUAAUCCAAAACAGGUGUGACUCAAGAUCUUAUCUUAGCACUAGAUAACUAGUGGUUUCACAUGUCGCAAGACGCGUGGGUUCGAAUCCCACUCUUGUCA
rnacentral:tRNA from 1 species